CCUGAUGUUCCGUCAUCAGUAGCCUAUCGGUGCAUGCGUGGUUGGCAACGACUGCGUGUGAAGCCACCGAGACAAUGUAGGUCGGCGAAAGCCAGGUGGAGACCGCGAGGUCGAAACCGCAUCUGCGAGCGCCAACGCGGAUGGAUCG
rfam:Xylella fastidiosa 9a5c, complete genome.